UACAGAGACUGCAAGCGUUAUUCGGAUUCACUGGGCGUAAAGGGUGCGCAGGCGGCCAAGUGUGUUAGGCGUGAAAGCCUGGGGCUUAACCUCAGAAUUGCACCUAAAACUACGUGGCUAGAGCAUUGGAGAGGGUAGCGGAAUUCACGGUGUAGCAGUGAAAUGCGUAGAUAUCGUGAGGAACACCAGAGGCGAAGGCGGCUACCUGGACAAUUGCUGACGCUCAGGCACGAAAGCGUGGGGAGCAAAAGGG
rnacentral:rRNA from 1 species